rnacentral:rRNA from 1 species
AUACGGAGGGUGCAAGCGUUAUCCGGAAUCAUUGGGUUUUAAGGGUCCGUAGGCGGACUAAUAAGUCAGGGGUGAAAUCCCACAGCUUAACUGUGGAACUGCCUUUGAUACUGUUAGUCUUGAGGUAUAUGGAAGUAGAUAGAAUGUGUAGUGUAGCGGUGAAAUGCUUAGAGAUUACACAGAAUACCGAUUGCGAAGGCAGUCUACUACAUAUAUACUGACGCUAAUGGACGAAAGCGUGGGGAGCGAACAGGAUUAGAAACCCGGGUAGUCC